rnacentral:rRNA from 1 species
UACGGAGGAUGCAAGCGUUAUCCGGAAUGAUUGGGCGUAAAGGGUCCGCAGGUGGCCGUGUAAGUCUGCUGUCAAAGAAUGAGGCUUAACCUCAUCAAGGCAGUGGAAACUACACAGCUAGAGUACGGUCGGGGUAGAAGGAAUUCCUGGUGUAGCGGUGAAAUGCGUAGAGAUCAGGAAGAACACCGGUGGCGAAAGCGUUCUGCUAGACCUGUACUGACACUGAGGUGCGAAAGCGUGGGGAGCGAUCCGG